rnacentral:rRNA from 1 species
CCUACGUGUGUCAGCAGUGGGGAAUAUUGGUCAAUGGGCGCAAGCCUGACCCAGCCACGCCGCGUGAGGGAAGAAGGCUCUCGGGUUGUAAACUUCCUUUUUUAGGGACGAAGAAUGUGACGGUACCUGAGGAAUAAGCCACCGCUAACUACGUGCCAGCAGUCGCUGUAAUACGUCGGGUGCGAGCGUUAUCCGGAUUUAUUGGGUGUAAAGGGCUUGUAGGCGGGAGCGCAAGUCAGACGGGAAAUCUCAGGGCUCAACCCUGGGCUUGCCUUUGAAACUGGGUUUCUUGAGUGCUGGGGAGGCAAUCGGAAUUCCGUGUGUAGCGGUGAAAUGCGUAGAUAUACGGCGGAACACCAGUGGCGAAGGCGGAUUGCUGGACCGUAACUGACGCUGAGGCGCGAAAGCGUGGGGAGCGAACAGGAUUAGAUACCCGUGUAGUC